GAGGUGGGAGGAUUGCUUGAGCCUGGGAGGUUGAGGCUACAGUGAGCUGUGAUCACGCCACUGCACUCCAGCCUGAGUGACAGGGUGAGACCUUGUCUCA
rnacentral:miRNA from 1 species